CGGGCUUCCACGGCUUACACGAUUUUUGCACUUCUUUCAGGACACAUCGGCCGUCGACAAGUUGAUCCAACAACCAUGCGCUGCUUUUACAAUCUGCGAUAACCGGCCACGCCCCCGCUCUCGGCAGUUUGGCAGUGGCAGUGGCGAGCGACGGACACGGGCUUCCACGGCUUACACGAUUUUUGCACUUCUUUCAGGACACAUCGGCCGUCGACAAGUUGAUCCAACGACCAUGCGCUGCUUUUACCAUCUGCGAUAACCGGCCACGCCCCCGCUCUCGGCAGUUUGGCAGUGGCAGUGGCGAGCGACGGACACGGGCUUCCACGGCUUACACGAUUUUUGCACUUCUUUUAGGACACAUCGGCCGUCGACAAGUUGAUCCAACAACCAUGCGCUGCUUUUGCCAUCUGCGAUAACCGGCCACGCCCCCGCUCUCGGCAGUAUGGCAGUGGCAGUGGCGAGUGACGGACACGGGCUUCCACGGCUUACACGAUUUUUGCACUGCUUUCAGUUCCUGCAGUGUGACGCACCACUGUUGCAGCACGCAAGAGACCCCUGCUUGACCCGGAAGACCACUGUGCGCCGUGCACAUGCGCGAUCACGAACUACGACCUCUGCCCCGCGAACUUCACAACCAACUGCAUGUGCGUUUGGGGAAGUAUCGGCGAGGAUACGAUGGACCAUGCAUACCGGUGUCGGAAUGUUACCGCUGAGUUUUAGCCCGCAUUACACAUUAUGCCUUUAGGAGUAAAUAAAGAUAUAUCGAAAGCCAACACAAA